rnacentral:tRNA from 1 species
ACUUAAAUAGCUUAUAGUCAGAGCGUAAUAUUGAAGAUAUUAAGGAGAUUAUUAAAUCUUUGAGUA